CCGGAAGGGGAGUGAAAUAGAACCUGAAACCGUGUGCUUACAAGUAGUCAGAGCCCGUUAAUGGGUGAUGGCGUGCCUUUUGUAGAAUGAACCGGCGAGUUACGAUUUGAUGCAAGGUUAAGCAGUAAAUGUGGAGCCGUAGCGAAAGCGAGUCUGAAUAGGGCGUUUAGUAUUUGGUCGUAGACCCGAAACCAGGUGAUCUACCCUUGGUCAGGUUGAAGUUCAGGUAACACUGAAUGGAGGACCGAACCGACUUACGUUGAAAAGUGAGCGGAUGAACUGAGGGUAGCGGAGAAAUUCCAAUCGAACCUGGAGAUAGCUGGUUCUCUCCGAAAUAGCUUUAGGGCUAGCCUCAAGUGAUGAUUAUUGGAGGUAGAGCACUGUUUGGACGAGGGGCCCCUCUCGGGUUACCGAAUUCAGACAAACUCCGAAUGCCAAUUAAUUUAACUUGGGAGUCAGAACAUGGGUGAUAAGGUCCGUGUUCGAAAGGGAAACAGCCCAGACCACCAGCUAAGGUCCCAAAAUAUAUGUUAAGUGGAAAAGGAUGUGGCGUUGCCCAGACAACUAGGAUGUUGGCUUAGAAGCAGCCAUCAUUUAAAGAGUGCGUAAUAGCUCACUAGUCGAGUGACACUGCGCCGAAAAUGUACCGGGGCUAAACAUAUUACCGAAGCUGUGGAUUGUCCUUUGGACAAUGGUAGGAGAGCGUUCUAAGGGCGUUGAAGCAUGAUCGUAAGGACAUGUGGAGCGCUUAGAAGUGAGAAUGCCGGUGUGAGUAGCGAAAGACGGGUGAGAAUCCCGUCCACCGAUUGACUAAGGUUUCCAGAGGAAGGCUCGUCCGCUCUGGGUUAGUCGGGUCCUAAGCUGAGGCCGACAGGCGUAGGCGAUGGAUAACAGGUUGAUAUUCCUGUACCACCUAUAAUCGUUUUAAUCGAUGGGGGGACGCAGUAGGAUAGGCGAAGCGUGCGAUUGGAUUGCACGUCUAAGCAGUAAGGCUGAGUAUUAGGCAAAUCCGGUACUCGUUAAGGCUGAGCUGUGAUGGGGAGAAGACAUUGAGUCUUCGAGUCGUUGAUUUCACACUGCCGAGAAAAGCCUCUAGAUAGAAAAUAGGUGCCCGUACCGCAAACCGACACAGGUAGUCAAGAUGAGAAUUCUAAGGUGAGCGAGCGAACUCUCGUUAAGGAACUCGGCAAAAUGACCCCGUAACUUCGGGAGAAGGGGUGCUCUUUAGGGUUAACGCCCAGAAGAGCCGCAGUGAAUAGGCCCAAGCGACUGUUUAUCAAAAACACAGGUCUCUGCUAAACCGUAAGGUGAUGUAUAGGGGCUGACGCCUGCCCGGUGCUGGAAGGUUAAGAGGAGUGGUUAGCUUCUGCGAAGCUACGAAUCGAAGCCCCAGUAAACGGCGGCCGUAACUAUAACGGUCCUAAGGUAGCGAAAUUCCUUGUCGGGUAAGUUCCGACCCGCACGAAAGGCGUAACGAUUUGGGCACUGUCUCAACGAGAGACUCGGUGAAAUCAUAGUACCUGUGAAGAUGCAGGUUACCCGCGACAGGACGGAAAGACCCCGUGGAGCUUUACUGUAGCCUGAUAUUGAAAUUCGGCACAGCUUGUACAGGAUAGGUAGGAGCCUUUGAAACGUGAGCGCUAGCUUACGUGGAGGCGCUGGUGGGAUACUACCCUAGCUGUGUUGGCUUUCUAACCCGCACCACUUAUCGUGGUGGGAGACAGUGUCAAGCGGGCAGUUUGACUGGGGCGGUCGCCUCCUAAAAGGUAACGGAGGCGCUCAAAGGUUCCCUCAGAAUGGUUGGAAAUCAUUCAUAGAGUGCAAAGGCAUAAGGGAGCUUGACUGCGAGACCUACAAGUCGAGCAGGGUCGAAAGACGGACUUAGUGAUCCGGUGGUUCCGCAUGGAAGGGCCAUCGCUCAACGGAUAAAAGCUACCCCGGGGAUAACAGGCUUAUCUCCCCCAAGAGUUCACAUCGACGGGGAGGUUUGGCACCUCGAUGUCGGCUCAUCGCAUCCUGGGGCUGUAGUCGGUCCCAAGGGUUGGGCUGUUCGCCCAUUAAAGCGGUACGCGAGCUGGGUUCAGAACGUCGUGAGACAGUUCGGUCCCUAUCCGUCGUGGGCGUAGGAAAUUUGAGAGGAGCUGUCCUUAGUACGAGAGGACCGGGAUGGACAUACCUCUGGUGUACCAGUUGUCGUGCCAACGGCAUAGCUGGGUAGCUAUGUGUGGACGGGAUAAGUGCUGAAAGCAUCUAAGCAUGAAGCCCCCCUCAAGAUGAGAUUUCCCAACUUCGGUUAUAAGAUCCCUCAAAGAUGAUGAGGUUAAUAGGUUCGAGGUGGAAGCAUGGUGACAUGUGGAGCUGACGAAUACUAAUCGAUCGAAGACUUAAUCAA
rnacentral:rRNA from 1 species